rnacentral:lncRNA from 1 species
CCAUCCACUCUCCAACUUUCCAAAACCAUACUGAAAUAUAUGUGUAAAACCCAUAAACUUCCAUUUUCUCGAGAACCGUGCAUCAAAUCUAAAAUCCGCCAGUGCCGUUGGUUCCAGACUAGCCGAACCGUUCAAAACGAGCUAUUGGAUCGCUAUGAACGGAGUCCGAUACGCACCAGAAGCCAUCUCCACUGAUCGCCCUCUCCGGAAAAUCGGAAUUACUAUUCACUUUAAGUGAUCAGUAAUGAUCGCGUAGCUUCUCCAUUCUAACUUAUUUCUGCUGAAACUUGACGAGUGCUUUUGUAAUUAAAUUACACACAAAAACAUCGUCAACAAAAAGUUUAGCUAUAUUACAAAAUC